UCCAUCGCGAGGUGGAAUCUGAAGGAAGCCGGCGGCAAACUUCCGGUCUGACGGACAGAAAUCACAUAAGGCAUGAUAGGAUGGGUAAAGCUGCGUCGAAAGCUGAAGCCCGAAAGCUAAUCCGGAAUCCCAUGGUGUGCAUGUGGCAGAUAGAUGGAAGGAAAGAACCUGUU
rfam:Human gut metagenome DNA, contig sequence: F2-X_007913.